UGAUGAAUUUCCUGGGACAUGGUUCUGUCAGUUUUAAAAUGGAAUGGUGCCAGACAAAUCUGGAUGAAGUUGUCAGCCUAGAGACAGAAGGAUGUGUAUUCAGUUAGUCUUAAUCCCAACUUGAAUAAAUCAAAUUACAUGCUAGAAGAACAAAGUUAUACUGGGGCAUAGAGCAGAGCAUAGCAAAUUCCUUCACAAAGAAGAAGGAAAGAGCAUUUCAUACAGAGGGAGCUGAAGAAGCAAAGGCAUGGAGCUGUGCUUCUAGAAACAUAUUCUAUCUUCAGAAUCAAACUGGCGUCAGUGCUGAGAUCUAAGCCACAAGCUCAUGCUAGGAGAAAUAUUCUUACCUUGAAAAAACACAUACAAUUUAUUAAAUCAAAGAAAUCAGCAACAGCUGUGUGGAAGAUAAAGAAGAAAUAAUUUGUGGAAGAAAUAUUUUGGGACAGUACACUUUCCUCCUCUGGCAACUUUCCCUUAAUACAUACAAAAGAAAGAAAUGGGUCAGCAUCCCCACUCCGGAAUGGUUGCGUAAGCAAGAGGAGUCUUUUAAAGUGGCUAUAAGAUGGAAGUUUACAUCAGAAUGGCUAUGGGAGCAUUCUAAAAUACGCUUGUUCAGACCUCUACUACUUUCCAAAUUCUGACUUGGAUAUGCAGCUGAGCUGGGACACUAUCAGUGACCAAAAUUUGAGUCCUGUGGUUACUGCUGUGAUGAAAUCCUGUGGAAAAGGGAGUUUCACUUCCAGACACAGAUUGACCACCAACAGAACCAAGAAGACCCAUGCAAUCUUCUGCUGGUUUUUCUCUACCAAAGACAACUGGCUGUGAACCUUUUGCCAGAAGCCAGGGAUGGCAAGUGUGGAUUCCUAGCCUGUCUGUACAGGGUCUACGCCAGAGCAUCUGUACUUGGUUGGAGCAGAGUUCAGGAAAUAUCAACAACAACAAUAAAUCGGCAUCUUUGAAGUCAAUAUCUUUUUUGAAAACUAGAAUUGAUGAUGGCGUGAUAUGGCCAGUAUGUCUGGUCAAAACACAAGUGUUCCCUCAGAGAAAAGCAGCUGGAACUAUAAAACGCACUUUUGAAAAAAGAAAAAAAAACAAAGAAUGAAGUAACUUCUGAGCAAGUUUUCCACGGCAAGAAUACUUAAUUUGUGGCAUCACUCUAAAAAUUAGCAAAUUAAGAACGCUUGUUUACAUUUAAAAACCAGAACUGAUGAUACUGACAUUAAAUAAGCACUUUGGGCGCAGGUUGUUGAAUGGGUGGGUUGCUGGAGCGCUGGCAAUCCCAGUGUGAGCUUUCCGCCCUUGGGCUGUCCAAUUACACUGGCAAACAAGAUAGGUAAGAAGCAAGCAAAAGCCAUCUGGGCAAUAUGUCUUCUUAAUUUAAGGUUGGUUUUUGUUUGUUUUGUAAUUCUAACCUCUAGUUUUACCUUUAUUUGAUCCUUCAGCUAGGGAACGUGAAUUGGUUUGGGUUUGUCCUUGUUUGAAAUCUA